UACGAAGGGGGCUAGCGUUGUUCGGAAUUACUGGGCGUAAAGGGCGCGUAGGCGGCCUGACAAGUCAGAGGUGAAAGUCCUGGGCUCAACCUGGGGACUGCCUUUGAAACUGUCGGGCUUGAGACCGGGAGAGGUGAGUGGAAUUCCCAGUGUAGAGGUGAAAUUCGUAGAUAUUGGGAAGAACACCAGUGGCGAAGGCGGCUCACUGGACCGGUUCUGACGCUGAGGCGCGAAAGCGUGGGGAGCAAACAGG
rnacentral:rRNA from 1 species